GACGGAGGAUGCAAGCGUUAUCCGGAAUGAUUGGGCGUAAAGCGUCCGCAGGUGGCAGUUCAAGUCUGCUGUCAAAGACCGGGGCUUAACUUCGGAAAGGCAGUGGAAACUGAACAGCUAGAGUAUGGUAGGGGCAGAGGGAAUUCCUGGUGUAGCGGUGAAAUGCGUAGAGAUCAGGAAGAACACCGAUGGCGAAGGCAGGUCUCUGGGCAUUAACUGACGCUGAGGAGCGAAAGCAUGGGGAGCGAACAGG
rnacentral:rRNA from 1 species